CAGCUCUUGCUUUACAGGACUACAUAACAAUUACUCAUUGCCCAAAGUUUUUAGGUGAUUUUUUUUUUUACAGUUCACAUACCUUAGAACUGAUAUUGUAACUGCUUAGCUGGGGCAUGGGCAAUGCUGAAUCCUGUGGCCACAGACUGAAACAAAGUUUGCCAUUCUUUUAACAUAGCACAUAAAGACAGGGGUUUACAGAUCUUGUUCUGCAUGCACAUGUAAAUACACACACACACACACACACACACACACACACACACACACACAGCUUCCAACAAACAGAAUGAAACCAAAUGUAUGACUCUUGCAGAAUGGACAUUGCUGAAUCAUGCCAUGGGUGGAAUCAUUCCAUCAAUUCCUGAUUUUUCUCCAAAUGCAGCUGCGUUUCUGUAGAGUUCGUUUCCUGAGAAAGCUGAAGAGAAAACGGACCUAGCUUGCUGGGUGUCAGAAGGUGGGUGAGUCAGUCACCGCACACUGCGUGGUUUUGCCUCUGGAGCUAAACACGUGGUCAUAAGGAGACUUUAUUUCCUGCUGCAGUUUGAUUCUUAACACAUACUGAGUGCCUACUACGUGCAAGGUCCCAGCCAGGCUUUCUGGGCUGUACCAGGAGCGAAGGUAAAGCCUCUACCCUCUGAAAUCACUCUGCUAACAAUAUAAAAGACAAGCUACAUGUGUUCCUGUUUAACUCUGAAAUGAUAACUUCAUAGCUCGAGUCUCUCUGGAGCCUGACUGCUACAGAUAUUUUGAUCUUUUCUGUGGGAAUUGCAGUGCCAUAGGAAGGAAGCUCUUUUCCAUAUUUUGUAGAUGUGUGUAGACUGCAGCCCCUGGGCAGAGCGAUUACAGUCUGCUCAUAUUAAUUAAUUAUGCCUAUUUCGAUGCAGAAGCUGAACAGGGAUGGGCUUGGAGCAUCAUGCCCACAGCCUGUGGGAUGCUGGGUUCCACAACAGGGUUGUUGUUCUGCCUGUGGUUGCCUUUGGCUCCCCCUUGGCAUUGAUACUUAAUUGCAUUCCAACUGGGUAAGUCUGAACCUGUCUGCUGAGCCUUCUUGGCAGGUGUGUAACCAAAUGUCCCCGGGCCUUGCCAGUCUGUGGGGGCCAAUUAGGCCUCACUUCCACUCAAAUGUUUCUUAGCUGAUUGCUCCAGCUGAGAAACUCCAGCCCGCCAUGAAUCUUUCUCAAAGGCUGUCCUUCUGGGAUAAGGCCACAGGAGGACUCAAACAUGCUCAGAAACCAUUUGUUUGUAGAUCUUGGACAUUCAAGGUUUGUUGGCUGUUGGAAGCUGUCACUAUGUUGAUACCGUGCAUCCCAGUUCCUCUGUUGGGGUUACGUCACAGCACAUGAGCUUUGCGGGUACUGAGACAUGGAGAACUGGUGACCUGAGAGAACGCUUUGGACAAUAUCUGAAUGGGAAAAGAUGGACGGCAAAUAAAUUGAUCAAUAAGAAGAUUAAUAAUAAAGUGCCUGCAGACAAUUGAUUUUGGGUGAUAUAAUGAGCGGUAUCCAGGAUUCUUUGUGUAGCUAAAAAAAAAAAAUGCCUGAAGUAGUUUGAUGAGAGCGUGAGGUGGUGCAGACAUGCGUGCUGGAGGUCGGUAGAGUUCCUGCCUGACAGAGUCAACCUGACCUAGAGGGACGAUUCCUGAAGGGCCAUGAGACGACCGGGGGACACUCUGGAACCAGGCACUUUGGAAACAGGAACAGCGUGCGUCAAGGAAGCUGCACUGGGAAGCUUCUCACCCAUCAGGCUAUUUGGUGAGAAGAUUUGGCAGGGACAGGGGAAAAAUACAGACUAAUUUUGUCACUUGCUGAGGUAGAAGGGAUAUUGGGCAGUAACGCCUCCUACUCUGUACAUGUGCAUAUGGAGUCAUAAUCUUUAUUAUUAUUAUUAUUAUUAUUAUUAUUAUUAUUAUUAUCAUCAUUAUCAUCUGCAUGAGUCAGACUGGAGCUAGAUCUCAUUAAAGAGUCCCCAGGGAGUCUGAAGAGGAACUGAGGCAGACUCAUACCAACUCAAGCAUCCUCAUCAGUAGUUAAGGACUUACCCAGAGUCUGGUGCAUUGAACCUCCACUGAAAAGGCUCAGUCUCAAGGAUCAGCGUUGUAUCUGAGACCCUAGCAUCAGCCUAUGACCCCCGGUGUGCUGGUGCACACCUUUAACCCCAGCACUGCCAAGGCAGGUGGGUCUCUGUGAGUUCUAGGCCUAGUCUACAUAGUGAGCUCCAGGCCAGCUAGAACCACGUUGUGAGAUUCCGUCAGAACAAAAACCUCGGUGGUCAAGACUUCAGCCGAGAGGGCUCAAUGGACAUAAAAACAGAAAGAGUGGAUAGUGCUUGAUUAGAAGUUUCCCUGGUGUUAACAUGCAUACGUAUGGUCCUAUCAUUACAAAGUCCCUGUUUCUUCAUCUUUAAAUGUUUCAGACAGUGAACAUUUAGAUUCAUUUUCUCUCUGUUACCAAUAAAACCAAACCUAUUUUCAAAGUU